GACGAACGUUGGCGGCGUGCUUAAUACAUGCAAGUCAACUGAAGCAGUGGUAGCAAUAUCGCUGUGGAGGUGGCGCACGGGUGAGUAACACGUAGGUAAUCUGCCUUCAGGUCUGGCAUAACUCCGGGAAACCGGGGCUAAUAGCAGAUGAUGCAGCGGCUCGACAUCGAGACAGUUGUUAAAGCUAUGGCGCCUGAAGAUGAGCCUGCGUCUGAUUAGCUAGUUGGCGGGGUAACGGCCCACCAAGGCAACGAUCAGUAGCUGGUCUGAGAGGAUGAUCAGCCACACUGGAACGGAGACACGGCCCAGACUCCUACGGGAGGCAGCAGUAAGGAAUAUUGCUCAAUGGGAGAAAUCCUGAAGCAGCAACGCCGCGUGAGGGACGAAGGGCUUUUGCUUGUAAACCUCUGUAGGGAGAGAAAAAAAUCCCAAUCUUUGGGACAUGAUGGUAUCUAAAAAGUAAGCCCCGGCUAACUACGUG
rnacentral:rRNA from 1 species